rnacentral:tRNA from 2 species
UCCUGAGUAGCUCAAUGGUAGAGCGGGUGGCUGUUAACCACUAGGUUGGGGGUUCAAAUCCCUCCUCAGGAG